CUUGAAUCAUCCUGAAACCAUCCCCCUCCCAUUCCACCCAUUCUGUGGAAAAAUUGUCUUCCAUGAAACCAGUCCCUGGUGCCAAAAAGUUGGGGACCACUGAAAUAAAGCUUUGCCAACAUGUGACCCUGCCAGGAGCUUCUCUGAAAGAUCUUAUAAGACUUGGGGGACACUGGUACCUCAAUCAAGCAGUGUGGCUGUUUUUGCUUUUGUCUCUGUGUUUUAAGCAUAGGAAAUGCCAGCACAAGCAGUACCUUGGACUCUUUCCAGGUAGAGGAUUAUGUAAUUCAAGUGUUCCUAUUAUUGCACUUGUGUUAGUGACGGGCACUGAUCAUGACCAUGCUUGGGUGCAACUGGCUCUUAAGAACUCAUGCUCAGCUUGAAUAGGGAAAAACAAGGGAAUUGUGAUGGUGCAUUUCCAUGAUUUCUGAUGGCAACAGUCUAAUUCUUCUGCCUUGUUGUCUUCAAGCAAAGAACGGGGGAGAUGAGAAGAGGAAAAAGAGAGAAUGUAAAAGGUAGGCAAAGGGAAUGGCUUGGAUGUGCUCAUACAUACCUGAGGCAGGAACAGGUUGAGGUUAACACAGUGCUAUCGAGUUUCUUAUGUCACCUUCCCUCUACUUUUGCUAUAGACUUUGCUUUCUCCUAAUUCUGGCUUGCUCGUGAUUCCUCAUGGCUUCUAAAGGUAUUUCAUGGCCUUCUUUGAUGUACACUGUCAUCAUCUUCUCUUACUCAUUUCCUGUUUCAAAUAUCUGAGGAAGAGACUCUGACUGGAAUAACUUUUUUUUUUUUUUUUUUUUUUUGACAGGGUCUUGCUCUGUUGCCAGGUUGGAUUGCAGUGCUGUGAUCUUAGCUCACUCCAACCUCCGCCUCCUGGGUUCAAGCAAUUCUCGUGCCCAGCUUCCCCAGUAACUGGGAUUACAGGCACAUGCUACCACACCCAGGUAAUUUUUGUAUUUGUAGUAGAGACGGGGUUUCACCGUGUUGGCCAGGAUGAUCUCAAUCUCCUGACCUCAUGAUCUGCCCACCUAGGCCUCCCAAAGUGCUGGGAUUACAGGUGUGAGCCAUUGCGCCUGGCCAUAACUUGUCUUUUUACCUGUGGCCACUCCAGAGGUCAUGGAGAGGCCAUGGUUUGGCUGCUCUUGCUUUAGAUUUGCACCCCUGACUGAGACCAGAAUGGCCAGGCUGCAUGGUAUAAAACAUAUCCUCCUGGGGCUACAUGUUCUGCAGAAGCUGUGGGAAGGCACAUUCUGGGGUAUGGUAGGUGGCAGCCAAUAUCACCUCAGGUUCUCCAACACAGCAGACACAAGCUAUUCAUGCUUGUAAUUAAUUUUGUACCCUACAUGAGCAUAAGGCAAAAGAGCCCACAAAGAAAGUGAUCUAGCACAGGGCAGUUGUAGGAUGCUCGUUGUUGAUCCAUUUGGUUCAAAACGAAAGCCUUCUGUGUUAAAAUCCACAGCAGGAAAUAACAACAACCACAAACAAAAAGUACUCAAGAGUGGUUUUACUCAUGAAAACAUAGAUAAACAAUCAUUUAUGCCCUUAGAGAAUGAAUAAAAGAUCAAAGUUGGAAUAACAGAACACAGAGACUGUUUUUCCCCCUUUUUCUGCUUGAACAAAAAUCACCCAAGGACUGAAAAGUUCACUAUUCUAUUGCUUCUUGUAUAUGAAUGCAAAUGUAUAUAGGCCAAAAUUCAGGUGGGGUUUUUUCCUGCCCCUUGCGAUCUAUGUAAAUUUGCCUUUAACUCUCAAAUUCUAUGGUUCACAGAGCUUUAC
rnacentral:lncRNA from 1 species